GGUUCGUUUUGAGUGUGAGCCGUCCAGCUCAAGAUUUUUUUUAGCCCUACUUUUCACAAAGCUGCUGCACUCGUUUAGAUUCUCUGACCCUGCUCCCGAGAACUCAUCGACGCCGUCCAUGCUGUCCUCCUCUCCGGCGCCGUCACAAGAGGGCGCCGCCGUUCCCUCCUCCUGGGCGGAAGCUGCGUCCUCGGCGGCGCUCCGGCACUACCGCUCACUGGCCAAGAAAGGGAAGCCGCAGGGGCGCGAGUCCACGGUCCUCGCCGCCAUCCUCCUCUCUGCCCCGCAGGACUCGCACAGCCUCACUGUGCUCUCCAUGGGCACCGGCACCAAGUGCCUCGGUGCCUCGAUGCUCAGCGCACGUGGGGACCUCGUUCACGACGCGCACGCUGAGGUCAUCGCUCGCCGCGCGCUGCUCCGCCUCGUCUACUCCGAGAUCGGCCGUGGCGCCCCGCCUGAUUGGCUGGUUGCUUCCGGGGAUGCUGGGAGAUGGAGGCUGAGGGAUGGGCACUGCCUUCAUCUUUACAUCACACAACUCCCAUGUGGAGUCAUGCCAGUACCACCAUCGCAGUCUGAUUUGCCAAGAAAACAGCUGAACAGUAUGAAUGUCGAAAUUGGCUUUGUUCAAAGGAAACCAGGGCGUGGUGAUACAACAUCGUCCAUGAGCUGCUUUGACAAAAUCACCCGCUGGAGCGUUGUAGGAAUUCAAGGUGCAUUGCUGUCACAUAUACUGGAACCCUUGUAUUUGUCCACCAUUACUAUUGGACAAUUACCUGAUGGUACUCCUGAACGGUUCUCUAUUAAAAAUAAUAUCAAGAAGGCCCUGGAUGCUCGUCUGUCCUCUCUACCCACCGAAUUGCCGCCUCCUUUCAAAAUGCAGAAGCCAAAGGUUUUUGAGGCGCCUGUCCCACCAACAGAGUUUCAACAGAUUCCUGGAGACGUACGCCUCUUGACAUGCGGGUACUCGAUUUGUUGGAAUAAAUCCGGUUUGCAUGAAGUUGUCUUAGGCACAACUGGUAGGAAACAAGGAACCUCAUCAAAGGCAGCACACUUACCCUCCACCGAGUCACUGGUCUGCAAGAGAAGACUACUAGAAGCAUUUUUGUCCCUUGAGCAUCCUUUGGUGAGGCAACUAAAAUGCGAGGAGCUAUCUUACCGGGCACUUAAGGAUACGGCUCAUGAAUACCAUCACGCGCUUGAGCUCCUCAGGAAGGCCCCAUUUUUUGGCUGCUGGCGAGCUAAGCCUACAUUUGUUGAUUCGUUUGCAGUUUCACGGUGAUGUCUCGUGAACUGGUGAAUGCCAUCUCCCUGUUUCUUUUUGUCUGUUGAAAAAACAUACUAUCUCCGUCCCAAAAUAUAGUUCUUUCUAGCCUAUUUUUUUCCGAUCCAUAUUAAUAAACGUAUAAAUAGUGUAGAAUGAAUUAUAUUUUAGGACCGAGGGAGUAGGUCUGAUCCAGCUUUGUUCUGUGUGAAAUUGUAUAUGUUGGUGGUCCAUGAAUGAAUCAAACUGAACUUAUGCGCGCGUGCUGCUGUCACUUGAUUCCAAGCACUCCCUCCCGGCCUCCCCGCGCCAGAGAGUUCAAGUUCUGAAUAAUGGUAGGAUUUCAAGUUCUUUUACUCAAGAAUCGAGAUGUGAAAUUUAUCGCGCGCGUGACUGCGUGAGCACCGAACAACUAAUGCCUUUCUGCUCGCUCGCUUCAAUUUCCUGGACGAGCCUCACCGAGGUCCAGGUCGUUUUUGAGGUUCAUCGGCGUCAAGCCGUCAGCCGCUGCCGGUCCAUUUGUUCUCGACGGAUGGAUCCUGGAAUCCCGCCCGACUCCCGAGACUGGAGGACAAGAGACUCCGGAGACCGGAUCACAAGCAAGCAACAUGUUCGUUUGGUUUGGCUUUAAUUUGUAACGAAUUUUAUUGUUUUUACAGGAUUUUGUAUCUAUAGUUUACAGCUGACUUUAAUCUGAAGCAAACAGCAUAAUA